UACGAAGGGGGCUAGCGUUGCUCGGAAUUACUGGGCGUAAAGCGCACGUAGGCGGCUUCUUAAGUCAGAGGUGAAAUCCUGGAGCUCAACUCCAGAACUGCCUUUGAUACUGGAGAGCUUGAGUCCGGGAGAGGUGAGUGGAACUGCGAGUGUAGAGGUGAAAUUCGUAGAUAUUCGCAAGAACACCAGUGGCGAAGGCGGCUCACUGGCCCGGUACUGACGCUGAGGUGCGAAAGCGUGGGGAGCAAACAGG
rnacentral:rRNA from 1 species